AUGUCCCUACGGGGCGCAGCAGUGGGGGAUAUUGCACAAUGGGGGGAACCCUGAUGCAGCGACGCCGCGUGAGUGAAGAAGUAUUUCGGUAUGUAAAGCUCUAUCAGCAGGGAAGAAGAAAGACGGUACCUGAGUAAGAAGCCCCGGCUAACUACGUGCCAGCAGCCGCGGUAAUACGUAGGGGGCAAGCGUUAUCAGGAUUUACUGGGUGUAAAGGGAGCGUAGACGGUAUGGCAAGUCUGAAUUGAAA
rnacentral:rRNA from 1 species